rnacentral:rRNA from 1 species
GGAACUGGAUUGGAACGCCAAACAGCUCUAGAUUCGAGGGUUUCCAUUAUAGCCGAACGCGAGGGAAAGAUCAUUUCUACUGAUAGUCAUAAGAUACUUUUAUCAAGUAGUGGGAAGACUAUAAGUAUUCCUUUAGUUAACCACCGUCGCUCUAACAAAAAUGUAAAAUCCGAACAAGUAAUUGCGGAGAUUCGUGCCGGAACGUCCACUUUACAUUUUAAAGAAAGGGUACAAAAGCAUAUUUAUUCUGAAUCAGACGGCGAAAUGCACUGGAGUACUGAUGUUUACCAUGCGCCCGAAUAUCAAUAUGGUAAUCUUCGCCGAUUACCAAAAACAAGCCAUUUAUGGAUGUCUCUGCACGAAUUACGGAUGGCACUUGAUCCGGCGGAUGUGAGUCACUUGCUUCUACUCAUGCAUGGCUAG